CCUACGGGGGGCUGCAGUGAGGAAUAUUGGUCAAUGGGCGAGAGCCUGAACCAGCCAAGUCGCGUGAGGGAAGACGGUCCUAUGGAUUGUAAACCUCUUUUGCCGGGGAGCAAAAAGCGGUACGUGUACCGCAUCGAGAGUACCCGGUGAAAAAGCAUCGGCUAACUCCGUGCCAGCAGCCGCGGUAAUACGGAGGAUCCGAGCGUUAUCCGGAUUUAUUGGGGUUAAAGGGUGCGGCGUGGGGCGGUUAAGUCAGGUGUAAAAGUUUGGGGCUCAACCCUAGCACUGCCUUUGAAACUGGCAGUCUUGAGUGGGCGAGAGGUAUGCGGAAUGCGUGGUGUAGCGGUGAAAUGCAUAGAUAUAACGAAGAACUCCGAUUGCGAAGGCAGCAUACUGGCGCCCAACUGACACUCAGGCACGAAAGUGUGGGUAUCGAACAGGAUUAGAUACCCCUGUAGUC
rnacentral:rRNA from 1 species